CCUGAUGCAGCGACGCCGCGUGAGGGAUGACGGCCUUCGGGUUGUAAACCUCUUUCAGCAGGGACGAAGCGCAAGUGACGGUACCUGCAGAAGAAGCACCGGCCAACUACGUGCCAGCAGCCGCGGUAAUACGUAGGGUGCGAGCGUUGUCCGGAAUUACUGGGCGUAAAGAGUUCGUAGGCGGUUUGUCGCGUCGUCUGUGAAAACCCACCGCUCAACGGUGGGCCUGCAGGCGAUACGGGCAGACUUGAGUACUGCAGGGGAGACUGGAAUUCCUGGUGUAGCGGUGAAAUGCGCAGAUAUCAGGAGGAACACCGGUGGCGAAGGCGGGUCUCUGGGCAGUAACUGACGCUGAGGAACGAAAGCGUGGGUAGCAAACAGGAUUAGAUACCCUGGUAGUCCACGCCGUAAACGGUGGGCGCUAGGUGUGGGUUCCUUCCACGGGAUCUGUGCCGUAGCUAACGCAUUAAGCGCCCCGCCUGGGGAGUACGGCCGCAAGGCUAAAACUCAAAGGAAUUGACGGGGGCCCGCACAAGCGGCGGAGCAUGUGGAUUAAUUCGAUGCAACGCGAAGAACCUUACCUGGGUUUGACAUGUACUGGAAAGCCGUAGAGAUACGGCCCCCCUUGUGGC
rnacentral:rRNA from 1 species